GUGCUCACUUUGGCAGCACAUAUACUAAAAUUGGAACAAUACAGAGAUAGUAUGGCCCCUGAGCGAGGAUAGCACGUUCCAUAUUAAAAAAAAAAAAAAAGCU
rnacentral:snRNA from 1 species